rnacentral:tRNA from 1 species
GUGAAUGUAGCUCAGGUGGUUAGAGUACUGGAUUGUGAUUCCAGUUGUCGUGGGUUCAAGUCCCAUCAUUCACC